UGACCCCAAAGCCCCCUUUAUGUUCCCACCCCACAGAGCUGGAGGCGCCCGACGGGACCUACAUCAGCCUACAGAGUGUGGGGCCAGACAAGGUCCGCCUCCCACGGCCUCAAUCCUUCGCCCCCCCCUGAAGAUUGACCCCAAAACGGCCCCAAAAAGGCCCCAAAUCCGACCCCCCCCCCCCCCAAACGACCCUAUAAACCAAUAAAGGGUCCCAUCAUGCA